AUUGAAGGAAAAAGGAAAGUGGAAAGUGGACACAUAAUUUAGACUCUUCGCUGAGACCCUUCUUCAGUCUAAGUCUCUGUCUCUUCUGAGUCUCUUGUACUCAUUACAUCACUGGGCAAGAUCUUAUCUAGUCCACGGAUUGAUGGAUUGGGCUACCGACGAACGAGAUCGGCAUGGAAUUCUGGCCUGGAAGAUCCAUUUUGGCUUCCGGCCACCGUUUUGAGGAAGAGAAAUAAUACAGAUCCGGCCGGUAUACCCGUCCGGUUAAACAACAGUUCGUGAGGUUCGAAGGGCAAAACUGUUUUUCCGGUUUUUGAAACCAUGUUGGUCAAUUGUCAUCACUUACAACAUUCUGGCUCACAAGAUAUACACACAAGCUCUUCCCUGGACUCUGGUGACCGGUUAGCUAGCGAGUUUCCAGUACGGCUUCCACCGGUUCUGCAGGCUGAGCUUCUUCAUCAUCAUCAUUCACCUCGAUUCAAAUAUGAUGUUUUUUUUAAGUUUUCACGGCAAUGACACCCGUGACAAUUUUACAAAUCAUUUAUUUUCUGAGUUGAUAGGCAAUGUCAUUAAGGCCUAUAGGGAUGAAGAAGGAAUUGAGCAAGGAACAUUCGUCGCCCCAGAGCUCAUGAAAGCAAUAAAAGAAUCCAAGUUCGCAAUUGUCGUUCUUUCAUAAAACUAUGCUUUACUCAGGAUGGUGCUUGAAUGAACUUGCCUAGAUUGUUGCAUGCAUAGAAGAGACGGGUCUAAAAGUUAUCUUUUAUCAUGUGGAUCCCUCUAAUGUAAGGCAGCAAAAUGGAACUUUUGCUUUAGCCUUUGCUAAACAUGAAGAGGACUCCAGAGUUAAGACUUAAGAGUGAGAAGAUACAAACGUGGAAAGAUGCUUUGAAAUGCGUGAUACACAUUGCCGGGUUUGUUGUAGAAGAUAGCACAUCUGAAUCAGCAGUUGUCCAGCAUAUCAGUGGAGACAUAAAGCGUGAAUUGUAUGCAUCAUUUGUUGGAGGGGCCUUUCUGGAAGCAAAGCUUGGAGAAGUAUUUGGGGUGUUGCAUGACACAGUUAAGAAUGCGGGAAGCAAAGUCCUCACGUUCAAAUCCUUUUUUAAAAACUUCGAAUCCAAUCUAGAUCUUUUAGCACCUGUGGUCGAAGAGGUAAAAGAAAAACUUGAUUGCCCAGAACAGGAAACACGGAGCUUGAUCAAAAAAAUGAAGGAUGUCAAGCAGCUCAUUGACAUGUGCUCAGAUAUCGGAGAUAUGAACAAAUUUUACCGCAUUUACACCAACAAACUAAUGAAUUUGGAUGAGGCCAUUUGUGAGGUUCUGUAAGGUUCAUAUGAAUGCACAGAACAGGGGAUAUUUUGCGGAUUUUGGAUUAGUGGAAACCUACUCAGGAGGAAAUGAAGUUGCCCAUCCUGAAGAUUGGUAGGUUGUCGUGCUCAGUUCCUAGACCCCCGGAUUUUACUGUUGGGCUGGAUGUGCCUCUGAAAGUGUUGAAAACUAAGCUGUUGAAGGAGAAGCAGCAGCAACUUCUACUGACUGCUCCUGGCGGAUGCGGGAAGACUGCAUUUUUGAAAUGCUAGGUCAUGACAAGGAAAUUAUUGGCAAAUUGAAGGACAAUUUUUUUGGCCCCGUUUCUAAAAUUCUCAACCUGAUGGUCAUUGUGCAAAGACUAUUUCAUCAUAUAUGUGGUCAGGAGCCUGAGUUCCUAAGUGAUGAAGAUGCAAUCUACCAGCUGCAGGAACUGUUGACAAAAAUUGGAUCCACUCCUAUAUUAUUGAUCUUGGAUGAUGUUUGGUCUGGAUCAGAAUUCCGUCUUGAAAAGUUUAAGUUUGAUAUGCCAAAAUACAAUAUUCUGGUGACCUCAAGAACUAUAUUUCCAGAAUUUAGCUUUACAUAUAACUUAAAAUCGUGAAAUGAUGAAGAUGCAAUGACUCUGCUUCGUCACUCAGCAUCUCUACAAGAAUUCCAGUCUAAAUUAUUGAAAAGAUAGUGAGAAGCUGUGGGAGGUUCCCACUGGCCCUCAAAGUGAGUGGCAAAUCACUCAAAGAGAAGCCUGUGGAGGUUUGGCGCAGUAGAGCUAGGAAAUGGUCUAAUGGUCAUUCUAUUCUCAAGUCUAGUCCUGAUCUGCUUCAAUGUCUUCAUAAAAGCCUAGAAUUUUCGGAUGAUGAGGACAUUUUGACAGAGUGUUUUAUGGAUCUAGCUUCAUUUCCUGAAGGCCAUGGGUUACUUUUCCUACCCUAGUUGAUAUGUGGGCUGAAUUAUAUGAACUAGAUGAACAUGGCAAUGGUGCCAUUGACAAUUUACAUGAACUCACCUCCCGGAAUCUGGCUACUCUAGUGAGGACAAGGAAAGAAUCAAAAUAUACAAGUGAGAACAACAAUUAUUAUACUUGUUAAUAUGAAGACUUUGUCACACAACAUGAUCCUCUUAGAGAACUAGCUAUUUAUGAGGGCAGCUGGGGGGCCAAUCGGACAAAGGAAACGAUUGUUUAUGGACAUAAAUAAAAACACUCUACUGAAGUGGUGUACGAAACAGGAUCAGCACCUCAUCAAUGGCCGCCUAAUAUCUAUCUCAACUGAUGAAUUAUUCUUGUCAAGUUGGUGCAACAUUCAAGCACCCAAAGUUGAGGUUCUAAUUCUGAACUUUCAGACACACAAUUACAGCUUACCUGAUUUCAUGUUUAAAAUGGAUAAACUCCAGGUGUUGAUGAUAACUAAUUAUGGUUACUUUCCUGCUGAAUUAAGAAAUUUUCAACUACUCAAGUCUCUACCCAAUUUAAAAACAAUCAGAUUGGAGAAGGUUUCUAUCCCUUCCCUUUGCAAGGCCCCUGUAUUGUUAAAAAGUUUGAAGAAAAUUUCCUUAUUUAUGUGUAAUAUUGGUCAAGCUUUUUAGAAUUUUACUAUCCAAGUUUCAGAUGCAUUGCCAAAUUUAAUUUAUAUUUAUACAUUACUAAAAGCUGAAGUCAGCAUU